UCCGGUUUGUCACCGGCAGUCUCCCUAGAGUGCCCUUGCGUAGCAACUAGGGACAAGGGUUGCGCUCGUUGCGGGACUUAACCCAACAUCUCACGACACGAGCUGACGACAGCCAUGCAGCACCUGUGUCCAGGCUCCCUUUCGGGCACCCCCACCUCUCGGCAGGGUUCCUGGCAUGUCAAGGGUAGGUAAGGUUUUUCGCGUUGCAUCGAAUUAAACCACAUCAUCCACCGCUUGUGCGGGUCCCCGUCAAUUCCUUUGAGUUUUAAUCUUGCGACCGUACUCCCCAGGCGGACGACUUCACGCGUUAGCUUCGUUACUGAAGGACAACUCCUCCAACAACCAGUCGUCAUAGUUUAGGGCGUGGACUAC
rnacentral:misc_RNA from 1 species